GAAGUACUCCCUCCAUCCGGAAAUACUUGUCAUCAAAAUGAAUAAAAGAGGACGUAUCUAGACGUAUUUUAGUUCUAUAUACAUCCCUUUUUGUCCAUUUUGAUGACAAGUAUUUUCGGACGGAGGGGGUACCAU
rnacentral:pre_miRNA from 1 species